UUUGCACAUUAAAAUAACUUUGAAUGUCAUAAACUCUUAGUCUGCAUGGUGUUGAUGUUCUCUCCACCCACAAACACGCCAAGUAAAUAUCUUGUGUCUAAUAACAGUGGCAUCUGCUCAACUAGUGCAUCCAGCAGCUCCCCUCUAUGGGGCUUCUUGUACUGAUGUCCUGGGUGGACACUGCUCACAGAACAAACAGGAGGUAUUCAGACCAGGAGAACCAGUCCGUCCUGAUUACGUAAGUUGUUUACUAAAAUCUCACUUGAGAAAGGGUUUCUACUGCAAUAUGUUGUGUCACUUGGGUGUGAUAUAUUACAUUAUGAAUGGAUUAGGCUAUGCAUAGGAAUGAGUCGAUGAGUAGGGAUAUUUGUUAAUGAGAGAGGUACAGGAUAGAGGUACAGGAUAGAGGUACGGGAUAGAGGUACGGGAUAGAGGUACGGAAUAGUGGUACGGGAUAGAGGUACUGUCACGUUCUUUCAGAAUCGAACCCAGAAGCAGACCAGGACAAGGAGAGUAGGAAGAAGGUGAGUAUUUAUUUACAAGUGAAUGUGAAUGGGUAGAUAUAUCCAGGUGACGUAGCGGACAGCAGUGGUGAGUUGAUGGGAGUAAAUAGGUGGAUCCAAUGGGGUAGCGGAAUCCUCCGACGACCAGGCGGGAAUGGGGUAAAUGAUCCGGGUGAGUAACUGAAGACAAACGGAGGUAAGUUUAAGGCAAGCAAUACGUAAAAAACAACAAAACUAAUUCUAUCCAACUUGAGGCUGAUACUAUGGCACAACAUACUGUUCAUGGCUAACGAUCCGGCAGGGAAUGGAUGUCAGGUCAGAGCUUUUGAAGGGGAGAGGUGAUGAUCAGGACAGGUGUGCAGAUUACUGAUGGGAUACAGGUGCUGGUGAACAUCGAUCUCCCAACAAGCUAAUUCGCCUCGACCCCGCCGUCUGGAAUCCAUUAUGCAGCGCACCGUGUAGGCAGGACCACCUCCGAUCAUCCAAGGAGGAGGAGAACGAGGAGGAGGGGGCAACAGAGGACUGAGGAGA
rnacentral:lncRNA from 1 species